rnacentral:rRNA from 1 species
CCUACGGGUGGCAGCAGUGGGGAAUAUUGGACAAUGGGCGAAAGCCUGAUCCAGCCAUGCCGCGUGUGUGAAGAAGGCCUUCGGGUUGUAAAGCACUUUCAGUGGGGAAGAAAGCCUUGGGGCUAAUACCCUCGAGGAAGGACAUCACCCACAGAAGAAGCACCGGCUAACUCCGUGCCAGCAGCCGCGGUAAUACGGAGGGUGCGAGCGUUAAUCGGAAUUACUGGGCGUAAAGCGCGCGUAGGCGGUCUGAUAAGCCGGUUGUGAAAGCCCCGGGCUCAACCUGGGAACGGCAUCCGGAACUGUCAGGCUAGAGUGCAGGAGAGGUAGGUAGAAUUCCCGGUGUAGCGGUGAAAUGCGUAGAGAUCGGGAGGAAUACCAGUGGCGAAGGCGGCCUUCUGGACUGACACUGACGCUGAGGUGCGAAAGCGUGGGUAGCAAACAGGAUUAGAUACCCCGGUAGUC